rnacentral:lncRNA from 1 species
AAUCCUAGAAUAAACAAGCCUACUCAGUAUAAAUGUAAGUGAACCUUAAUAUAAAAAAGAUGUGGUAUGAUUGCCAAUGAGACAACUAUGCACAAAAGACCAAAAUGACACAGACAUUAACAACUAUAGGCCUUCAACAAUGAGCAAAGCCCAUACCGCAUAGUCAGCUAUAAAAUGCCCCGAUAAGACAAUAUAAAACAAUUCAAACGAGAAAACUAACGGCCUUCUUUAUGUAAAAAAAAAUGAACGAAAAACAAAUAUGUAACACAUAAACAAACGACAACCACUGAAUUACAGGCUCCUGACUUGGAACAGGCACAUACAUAAACAAUGUGGCGGG